UACGGAGGGUGCAAGCGUUAAUCGGAAUUACUGGGCGUAAAGCGCACGCAGGCGGUUGGAUAAGUUAGAUGUGAAAGCCCCGGGCUCAACCUGGGAAUUGCAUUUAAAACUGUCCUGCUAGAGUCUUGUAGAGGGGGGUAGAAUUCCAGGUGUAGCGGUGAAAUGCGUAGAGAUCUGGAGGAAUACCGGUGGCGAAGGCGGCCCCCUGGACAAAGACUGACGCUCAGGUGCGAAAGCGUGGGGAGCAAACAGG
rnacentral:rRNA from 1 species